rnacentral:ncRNA from 2 species
GGAUAGGAAGGCAAUGACGGUUCCGGAAAGGGCUUUGCCCGAUCCGGAUGAAACGGGAAUCCGGUGCGGCCCAUGCGGCCUUAAACCGGAGCUGCCCCCGCAACUGUGAGCGGUAAGCGUCUGCACGAUGACCACUGGCCGGAAUGGCCGGGAAGGGGUGUUUGACGCAGUGAGCCGCAAGCCAGGAGACCGGCCGUCGGAAAAGCAACCCA